CGGCCCGGGGCGCCGCUCGGAGCCGGGGACCCAACCGUCCCAUCGGGGUGAAUCGCCGCGCCUGAUCCGAAGAGCCCUCACCGGCUCGCCGGCCAGGGCAAGGCGUAGGGCGAACUUUCCCGUCCGAACCCGUCAGCUAACUCGGCAGGCGCCCAGGGAAGAGGA
rnacentral:sRNA from 2 species